UUUGAAUACAAAUAAUCAAAUCAUUGAUAAAUUUUUUGUCUACGAUUAAUGGAGGGACUUGAAUGGUGUUAAUUACCUAUCAAAUCAUUUUAUUUUUUAUUAUUAGUCUAAGUUACUAUUUAACUUUAAAUCAUUACAUGGCAGUCACUGUAGGUAACUUCACUUCAAUAUUCGGCAUGUUCGCAGCCAUACUCUUUAUGUACUACUACCUACUCUAUAAAAGUCCCGAAUACAAUCAACGCAAACGAUUUAAACAUUUCAUUCAUAUCACUAAUUUGAUAAUAAUUGCUUUUAGCACCUUCGUAUUAGUUCAUUUAGCAUUAAAAUUAUUCUUCAGCAUUUAAUUUCCAUCUAUGAAAAAAGCAAAGCUCAAAUCUGAACUUUG
rnacentral:snRNA from 2 species